rnacentral:rRNA from 1 species
AUACGAAGGGGGCUAGCGUUGUUCGGAAUUACUGGGCGUAAAGCGCGCGUAGGCGGACUGAUCAGUUGGGGGUGAAAUCCCAGGGCUUAACCCUGGAACUGCCUCCAAUACUGUCAGUCUUGAGUUCGGGAGAGGUGAGUGGAAUUCCUAGUGUAGAGGUGAAAUUCGUAGAUAUUAGGAAGAGCACCAGUGGCGAAGGCGGCUCACUGGCCCGAUACUGACGCUGAGGCGCGAAAGCGUGGGGAGCAAACAGGAUUAGAUACCCUAGUAGUCC